UGCCACCACAUAGUGAUUGGGGGCACCUUUUUCUGAGGGGAAGAGAGAACAGGCAAAGCCUAAAGAGCACAGCAUGUAAAGAGGAACAAGCAGAGGAAAAUUCCGAGACCGGCAGUCGAUGAAAAACUGGGGAUUUGGGUGAAACACUGGCAAGCAUACGUCCUGGGAAAGGUGAAAGUUGGAGACAACCUUAGGAAGAAAGUUGAUGUCUGGGCGCAGUACCACUCUAUCUCUAUGAAAAGUCAGAUUGUCAAGUGGAGAGAGUCCAGAUCAGGCUGCAACAUCACUCCCCGGUCCUGCAUAAGAAGACAAGAUGACAGAGGAAGUUGUAGAAUCGGUGGAAAGGCAUAGAGCAGCUGAUGACUCCAACUCCUGAGGAAGAUAUCACCCAAAGACUUGUGGUGCUUGCCCAUCCUGCUGCAGAACUGGACACACUUCGUGUUGAACCGUGUUGCAAAUAAGUCCAAUGCGGGUGUGCCCCAUCUGCAGAACACUUUCUAUAGUGGCCUCGGGUCUAAUGACCAUUCGUGAUACAGGUGCUGCUGAAGAUCUUUGGCAUGCCUUUGACUGAGCAGUUUCGACCACUACUGAAUUAGGAAGACCAGAGCAGCAAGGGGACAACCAGUCUGGCCCCAUUCAUCGGAGAGGGAAGGAGCAGCUGCAGGAAGCCUGCUUCCUCUUCUUUCCCAGUAAAGAACCUUUUGCUUCAACCACCAGUUGCCUGGAGAGGGAAGAAAUAAAAAGAAGCACCCUCCAGCCUCUACCAUCAACCACAG